rnacentral:rRNA from 2 species
ACCAUACGUACAACUCUGAACGGUGGAUCACUCGGCUCGUGUGUCGAUGAAGAGCGCAGCCAACUGUGUGAAUUAAUGCAAACUGCAUACUGCUUUGAACAUCGACAUCUUGAACGCAUAUUGCGGCCAUGGGUUAGCCUGUGGCCACGCCUGUCCGAGGGUCGGCUUA